UACGUAGGGUGCAAGCGUUAAUCGGAAUUACUGGGCGUAAAGCGUGCGCAGGCGGCUUUGCAAGACAGAUGUGAAAUCCCCGGGCUUAACCUGGGAACUGCAUUUGUGACUGCAUGGCUGGAGUGCGGCAGAGGGGGAUGGAAUUCCGCGUGUAGCAGUGAAAUGCGUAGAGAUCGGAAAGAACACCAACGGCGAAAGCACUCUGCUGGGCCGACACUGACACUGAGAGACGAAAGCUAGGGGAGCGAAUGGG
rnacentral:rRNA from 1 species